rnacentral:rRNA from 1 species
AAGUAUUGCACAAUGGGGGAAACCCUGAUGCAGCCAUGCCGCGUGUGUGAAGAAGGACCUUCGGGUUGUUAAAGCACUUUCAGUAGGGAGGAAGGUAGUGUAGUUAACACCUGCAUUAUUUGACGUUACCUACAGAAGAAGCACCGGCUAACUCCGUGCCAGCAGCCGCGGUAAUACGGAGGGUGCGAGCGUUAAUCGGAAUUACUGGGCGUAAAGCGCAUGCAGGCGGCCUGUUAAGUCAGAUGUGAAAGCCCGGGCUUAACCUCGGAAUUGCAUUUGAAACUGGCAGGCUAGAGUCUUGUAGAGGGGGGUAGGAAUUUCAGGUGUAGCGGUGAAAUGCGUAGAGAUCUGAAGGAAUACCAGUGGCGAAGGCGGCCCCCUGGACAAAGACUGACGCUCAGAUGCGAAAGCGUGGGGAGCAAACAGGAUUAGAUACCCUGGUAG